UGAACGCUGGCGGCAUGCCUUACACAUGCAAGUCGAACGGCAGCACGGACUUCGGUCUGGUGGCGAGUGGCGAACGGGUGAGUAAUAUAUCGGAACGUGCCCUGGAGUGGGGGAUAACUAGUCGAAAGACUAGCUAAUACCGCAUACGAUCUACGGAUGAAAGUGGGGGAUCGCAAGACCUCAUGCUCGUGGAGCGGCCGAUAUCUGAUUAGCUAGUUGGUGGGGUAAAAGCCUACCAAGGCAUCGAUCAGUAGCUGGUCUGAGAGGACGACCAGCCACACUGGGACUGAGACACGGCCCAGACUCCUACGGGAGGCAGCAGUGGGGAAUUUUGGACAAUGGGGGCAACCCUGAUCCAGCAAUGCCGCGUGAGUGAAGAAGGCCUUCGGGUUGUAAAGCUCUUUUGUCAGGGAAGAAACGGUUCUGGCUAAUACCCGGAGCUAAUGACGGUACCUGAAGAAUAAGCACCGGCUAACUACGUGCCAGCAGCCGCGGUAAUACGUAGGGUGCAAGCGUUAAUCGGAAUUACUGGGCGUAAAGCGUGCGCAGGCGGUUGUGCA
rnacentral:rRNA from 1 species